rnacentral:rRNA from 1 species
AUUGAACGCUGGCGGCAGGCCUAACACAUGCAAGUCGCACGAGUGGCGGACGGGUGAGUAAUGUCUGGGAAACUGCCUGAUGGAGGGGGAUAACUACUGGAAACGGUAGCUAAUACCGCAUACCAUCGGAUGUUCCCAGAUGGGAUUAGCUAGUAGGUGGGGUAAAGGCUCACCUAGGCGACGAUCCCUAGCUGGUCUGAGAUGAUGACGAGCCACACGGGAACUGAGACACGGUCCAAACGCCUACGAGAGGCAGCAGUGGGGAAUAGUGCACGAGGGGCGCAAGCCGGAUGCAGCCAUGCCGCGUGUAUGGAGAAGGCCUUCGGGUUGUAAAGUACUUUCAGCGGGGAGGCGUUACCCGCAGAAGAAGCAACGGCUAACUCCGUGCCAGCAGCCGCGGUAAUAC